GAAAUGCGAUAAGUAAUGUGAAUUGCAGAAUUCAGUGAAUCAUCGAAUCUUUGAACGCACCUUGCGCUCCUUGGUAUUCCUUGGAGCAUGCCUGUUUGAGUAUCAUGAAAUCUUCAAAGUAAAUCUUUUGUUAACUCAAUUGGUUUCUACUUUGGUAUUGGAGGUCUUUGCAGCUUCACACCUGCUCCUCUUUGUUCAUUAGCUGGAUCUCAGUGUUAUGCUUGGUUCCACUCGGCGUGAUAAGUUAUCUAUCGCUGAGGACACCGUAAAAGGUGGCCAAGGUAAAUGCAGAUGAACCGCUUCUAAUAGUCCAUUGACUUGGACAAUACUUUUAUGAUCUGAUCUCAAAUCAGGUAGGACUACCCGCUGAACUUAAGC
rnacentral:misc_RNA from 1 species